UCUUAACUGAAAGCCAAUGUAACUACACAAAGGAUUUAUCAAUUUGUCAUUUUAUGCAGAAGUUCUUUCACAAUGAGAUGCCAACUAGAAAGCUGACAGAGAUUCACCUGAGGAUCCAUGAUAUUCUAAUUACCUAAUCAGGAUUCCACCUCCUAUAAAUGAAGUUGGAAAAGGCAAGGUCUCCUAAGAGAGUUUUCCUUGGGUUAGAGUGGCUGGUUGUUUCACAAGACACAGACUGCUCUCUCAGAUCCCUGACUUUUUGUCACCCAGUCACCUCGAGAAAGUAAGCUAGGCAUAAAGUUCAUCCUCUUCUUAGGAAGACGAGGUCCAAAGGAAGAUAUGGAAAUGGGUGAUGCUGCACUGGUCACUUUUCAACAGAGAUCACAAGAAGAAACUUCCUGCAGGAAAUAUAAAACCCACCUUGGCUUAAUCUCAGCUGGAGGAAUACUGUUUUUAAUUGGAUUCCUUAUUUCAGCACUUGCUUCCUCUGACUACAUUCCUCAAUACUUGGUCUUAGGAAUAGUUUGCCUUUCCAUUGGCCUCUCUGCUAUGCUUGUUGGAAUUAUAUUGCUGAGUAUCAAAUAUCAAAUGGAGUUGUUCAGAUCUUCAAGCAUUGAGGAGCUAAAUACAACCCAAAUCUCUACCACAACAGGAGAUAUAACUGAAGCCACUACCCAGCUUUAACCUUUUUAUACUUUUUAAACUCAUGACAGUCUCAAUAUACAAAAACUUUACUGUGGCUAAGUUUGCAAGAAAAUCUAACUCUGUACAGAAUCUGAAUCAAACCAAAGCCCUUUCCCCUUGCUCUCAGAAAGCAGGUCUAGUUGUUCUCUUAGAAAACCAAGGCUUUAGAGAACAUAAAACAUGAAGAGGAUUCCUGAUGAUGUCUAGACAACAGAAAAGGACAACACUACAGAAGGCCCUGCCUUGAGGGGGGAAGGAUGGGGAAAUGCAGACUUGAAGAGAGAUUGGGAUCACCAAUAGAUAUUAAAUACACUUAUGCCCUCCAGCUCCUCCAAACCCUAGUGUCAACACACGUUCACAGCCAUGGCUGAGCUGCAGCUCAGUUUGGCAUCAUCUGGUGAUGUCACAUUUAAGCUUUCCAUAUAAG